AGAAUAUUUCAGGCCAUUAAACGAAUUAAAUACUCUUUGAUAGUUUUUAUUUUAUUUAUUUAUAUAUUUAUAUAAAUGGUUUUUCUGAGAAAGUCAAGCCAUAGGUGAACGGAUACAAGUGUUUAUAAUAACGUCUCAUAAUUCUCAGUUCCUAGCUCCGUUAGCUUUAUUCCUAGUUGAAUAACUCCAACUGGUAUGAUUGCCCUAAAGGUCUAUUGCAUUUAAUCUUUCCUUAGAGAACCUCUUUAACUAAUCUUGUCAGUGCUCCAUCCUAUAACUUCUCCUUUCCGAUCGAAACCUGUUACUUUGUCAGAGUUCCGUUCACCGGUCACUUUUCGUUGAUAUUCUUUACAGCUUUUGAUCAAAAAACUCUUUCAGACGUCUUUUAUUUUAUUGUAACUGCUAAAUUCGGUCCGCUCUGGGCUCAAAUAAUCGAUAGAAUUGCCGAUAGAAUUGCAAAACUCUUAUACGUUUUUUUGCAUUGUGUAUUUAGCACACGUUCAAGUGUUUGUGUUAAAUACAUAAUGCAAAUUUCACCUAUUGAAAUUGACAGAAUUUCUUUUCCACAAAGGAACUUCUGUUCUAAUAAACAAUUGAUGUCUGUCUUAAAUAUACAAUGCAAAUUUCUCCUAUUGAAAUUGACAGAAUUUCUUUUCCAUUCUGUUCUAAUAAACACGUCGAUGCCUGUGUUAAAUACACAAAAUGCAAAUUUCAUCUAUCGAAAUUGACAGAAUUUCUUUUCCAUUCUGUUCUAAUAAACACGUCGAUGCCUGUGUUAAAUACACAAAAUGUAAAUUUCAUCUAUUGAAAUUGACAGAAUUUCUUUUCCACAAAGGAACUUCUGUUCUAAUAAACACGUUGAUGUCUGUGUUAAAUACACAAAAUGCAGAUUUCGCCGAUUGAAAUUGACAAAAUUUGUUUAGAGAAAAAUGCC
rnacentral:lncRNA from 1 species